AGCAGCCGCGGUAAUUCCAGCUCCAAUAGCGUAUAUUAAAGUUGUUGCAGUUAAAAAGCUCGUAGUUGAAUUUCGGGAUCAGAUUGUUGGUCGUGCCCCGGUACGCACUGGCAUUAUUGGUUCCUACCUUCUGAAGAACCGCGAUGUCAUUAAUUUGGUGUCGUGGGGAAUCAGGACUGUUACUUUGAAAAAAUUAGAGUGUUUAAAGCAGGCGCACGCUUGAAUACAUUAGCAUGGAAUAAUGAAAUAGGACGUUUGAUUCUAUUUUGUUGGUUUCUAGGAUCGACGUAAUGAUUAAUAGGGAUAGUUGGGGGCAUUAGUAUUCAAUUGUCAGAGGUGAAAUUCUUGGAUUUAUUGAAGACUAACUACUGCGAAAGCAUUUGCCAAGGAUGUUUUCAUUAAUCAAGAACGAAAGUUAAGGGAUCGAAGACGAUCAGAUACCGUCGUAGUCUUAACCAUAAACUAUGCCGACUAGGGAUCGGAUGAUGUUAAUUUUUAAUGACUCAUUCGGCGCCUUAAC
rnacentral:rRNA from 1 species